CUCUUCCAGUGUCGGUUCACAGUGAGAGUGUGGACGGAGAUCAAGACUUGGCUUGGCCUCCACGACAUUGAUCCGUCAGAUUGGAGACUCAUGCCCUCGGUGAAAGUUUGUUGGGACAUGGUUGCUCGCAAAAGGGGCCACUCACGCAUGGUUCAUAGCACUUUGAUGAUGCUUGUUGUGUGGGAAAUUUGGAACGAACGCAACGCGAGGGUUUUCCGCAACACCGCCGCCCCUACUACCGUUGUCAUUGCCAAGAUUAAAGAUGAGGCCUCUAUUUGGGCUCGUGCAGGUGCGAAGUAUUUAUGUAAUAUUAUGCCGCGAGAGUGA
rnacentral:rRNA from 1 species